AAUUUUGGUUUUUCCUCAAACAGGAGACCGUGGAUAUCCUUGCACCCCCUGGCUCAUGACUCCUUACCGUAAUCCCAGGCCAGGACCACAGACGGCAUUUAACUCCGCGCUUACUGCCACUAGGCAGCUGGUGGAGCGCACAAUUGGGGUCCUUAAAGGGCGGUUUCGUGUGCUCCACCGCACUGGUGGCGACAUCAUGUAUUCGCCGGAGAUGGCAAGUAAACCAGUGGUUCUGUGCGCAAUACUACACAAUAUCGCGGUAAGGAGUAGCGUAGAGCUUCCUCAGACAGAGGAAUUGCCUGAUGAGGAGCCAGGGGUUGUUCGACACUUCGGUGGGGGGAGUGUUACACGGAGGGGGAGCCAAGUCAGGGCAAGCAUUGUUGCUGAAUAUUUCAGCUGAAUGAUCACACAAACUGUGGACGAGAACAACGGCAGACCUCUCAGCCCCCUUCCCCUUCCCAGUCCCCCUCCCCUUCUCACUCCCCCUCCCCUUCUCACUCCCCCUCCCCUUCUCACUCCCCCUCCCCUUCGCAGUCCUCCUCAGCUUCCCAGUCCCCCUCAGCUAUCCAGUCCCCCUCAGCUUCCCAGUCCCACUCCACUUUCCACUCCCCUUCUCACACCACCUCUCUAUCUCUUUCUGUGACCCCUUCUCCUCCUUCCCAUACCCCUUCUCCUUCAACUUCAAACUCACCUUCUCAGCCCCCCUCACCCUCUAU